CAUUUCUUCCUCUUUUAUUGUGACAGGAACCCUUUUGAUGUUUACUAUCCCCGUGUUGUAUAGCAAAUACGGAAAUUAUGUAGAUAAAUGUUGUGGAAUGAUAAAUCACCAAUUUUUAAAACAUUUCAGAAUUGUAGAUGAGAAUGUUUUCAAAAGAUUGCCCCAUAACAUACCCAAGGACAAAGAGUCUUGAUUUCCAAGAUCCUUCAAUUUACGCUCUUUUGGAAUCUUGCCACAACGUUGCCUUGUAAAAUUGAAAGAAUGUCAUUGUUCUCCCAAUUUGGUUUUCCCAACGAUAAAUUCACUUACAAAAGAGCAAAAACUCGAAGUUGAUAAAAUGGAAUUCUCAUCCUUGAAGACUAUUCAAGAUUGGAAAGUUGAUAGGCAGUUAUUCCGUGCACUUGCUAAAGCACAUAACACAACAACAAGCAAACUAGAAUUAGUGGUGGGGGAUAUUGAUGUGACAACAGACAAAAUUGGGGCAGCUAUAGGAUUACCUUCAAUUGAUAAAAGCUUUCCGGAAGAAGAAGAAUGGACUUCAGAGCAAGAAAGAUCAGUUGCCCCGUUCAAGUCUGUGAGAAGUCCAUGGCUACAAGAAGUGUUACAUUCAAGA